CCUACGGGAGGCAGCAGUGGGGAAUCUUGCGCAAUGGGCGAAAGCCUGACGCAGCAACGCCGCGUGAGGGAAGAAGGCCUUCGGGUUGUAAACCUCUUUCAGAUGGGAAGAAGCCACCGGGGUUAAUAGCCCACGGGGUGACGGUACCUUCAGAAGAAGCCCCGGCUAACUACGUGCCAGCAGCCGCGGUAAUACGUAGGGGGCAAGCGUUGUCCGGAAUCAUUGGGCGUAAAGCGCGUGUAGGCGGCUUGGUAAGUCUGGCGUGAAAUCUUGGGGCUCAACCCCAAGCCUGCGCUGGAUACUGCCUCGCUCGAGUCCGGGAGAGGAAAGCGGAAUUCCCAGUGUAGCGGUGAAAAUGCGCAGAUAUUGGGAAGAACACCGAUGGCGAAGGCAGCUUUCUGGAACGGUACUGACGCUGAGACGCGAAAAGCGUGGGGAGCAAACAGGAUUAGAUACCCCUGGUAGUCCACGCCGUAAACGAUAGGCGACAGUAGUGGUGGUGGUCGCUCCGUCCGUCGACGAAGACGUAACGACAUAAGUAGUCCCGCCCGUCGGGAGGUACGGACCGGCCGACGGACGAAACGUAACGUAAAGAAAGUUAAGUUAGGCGUUGAGAGNGCCGACGGACGACGACGAGGAGGAGG
rnacentral:rRNA from 1 species